GGUCAUGUGCUGGGGUCCAUGAGCUGAGCCUUCCUUCUGAGAAGAAGACCCUAUGGCCCCUUCCUUUUCACAGUGGAAUAUAUCUGUGUGUUCCUUAGAAACAGCAGUGAGAAACUAGGAAAGCUGUCUGGGAUGUGAGACUUUGGUGAAGUUUAAGUUUUAUUGCAACAAAUACGUAGCUGCAGGCACAGUAGGAGGAACCCACAGCUUUUGCAGUUUGUCUUGCAUAUGUGCCUUGGUCAACACACUUUGCAUGGGACUGACCAUCGUGUCGACAUCGGUGUACUGAAUAAAUGAAAAGGAAGACUGAGCAGACUGCAGUGAUUGAUUAGCUGAAAGAAAUCAUGGAGUGAAUAAAGGAUCACUGCAGGCUUCAAGCUGCGGUGACUGGAGACCUCUCACACUGUCAACACAAGGAAACCUUUUCCCACCCCUGGGCUCUGUAACUGAGGCCACUGCACCCUAACAUCUUUGGCGACUGUGACUAUACUUUGAGGCUCUUAAAAUCUAUUCCUGGUGAUUGGGAGGAAAAAAAAAAG
rnacentral:lncRNA from 1 species